rnacentral:rRNA from 1 species
AGAGUUUGAUCAUGGCUCAGAUUGAACGCUGGCGGCAUGCUAACACAUGCAAGUCGAACGCGAACGGGCUUCGGCCCAAGUAGAGUGGCGGACGGGUGAGUAAUGCGUGGGAAUCUACCCUCGAGCGGGGGACAACCCGGGAAACCCGGGCUAAUACCGCAUACGUCCUACGGGAGAAAGCGGGCCUCUACACUAUGCUCGCACUCGAGGAUGAGCCCACGUCCGAUUAGCUAGUUGGUAGGGUAACGGCCUACCAAGGCCACGAUCGGUAGCUGGUCUGAGAGGAUGAUCAGCCACACUGGGACUGAGACACGGCCCAGACUCCUACGGGAGGCAGCAGUGGGGAAUAUUGGACAAUGGGCGCAAGCCUGAUCCAGCAAUGCCGCGUGUGUGAAGAAGGCCUGCGGGUUGUAAAGCACUUUCAGUGGGGAAGAACGGAUACGGGCCAAUACCCCGCAUCACUGACGUUACCCACAGAAGAAGCACCGGCUAACUCCGUG